CCUACGGAGGGCAGCAGUGAGGAAUAUUGGUCAAUGGCCGGAAGGCUGAACCAGCCAUGCCGCGUGAAGGUCAGUGCCCUAUGGGCGUUAAACUUCUUUUGUGCGGGAGCAAUAAUGGUCACGUGUGGCCAGACGAGAGUACCGUACGAAUAAGCAUCGGCUAACUCCGUGCCAGCAGCCGCGGUAAUACGGGGGAUGUAAGCGUUAUCCGGAUUUAUUGGGUUUAAAGGGGGGGUAGGCUGGGAGGUAAGUGAGCGGUGAAAUGCCCCCGGUCAACGGGGUGAAGUGCAAUUGAUACUGGCUGGCUGGAAUGCGGAUGCGGUGGGAGGAAUGUGUGGUGUAGCGGUGAAAUGCAUAGAUAUCACACAGAACACCGAUUGCGAAGGCAUCUCACGAAUCCGCGAUUGACGCUGAUGCACGAAAGCGUGGGUAUCAAACAGGAUUAGAUACCCGAGUAGUC
rnacentral:rRNA from 1 species